AGCCUUGUAUUCAUUUUGUGAUUGUAGAAUGCAAUUCUAUAGGGGUGAGUUGAGUAGCUUACCAAGGCCU
rnacentral:tRNA from 1 species